AGAACGAACGCUGGCGGCAUGCCUAAUACAUGCAAGUCGAACGAACUCUUCGGAGUUAGUGGCGCACGGGUGCGUAACGCGUGGGAAUCUGCCCCUUGGUUCGGAAUAACAGUUGGAAACGACUGCUAAUACCGGAUGAUGACGAAAGUCCAAAGAUUUAUCGCCAAGGGAUGAGCCCGCGUAGGAUUAGCUAGUUGGUGAGGUAAAGGCUCACCAAGGCAACGAUCCUUAGCUGGUCUGAGAGGAUGAUCAGCCACACUGGGACUGAGACACGGCCCAGACUCCUACGGG
rnacentral:rRNA from 1 species